rnacentral:rRNA from 1 species
AGUCGAGCGGAGAUGAGGUGCUUGCACCUUAUCUUAGCGGCGGACGGGUGAGUAAUGCUUAGGAAUCUGCCUAUUAGUGGGGGACAACAUUCCGAAAGGAAUGCUAAUACCGCAUACGUCCUACGGGAGAAAGCAGGGGAUCUUCGGACCUUGCGCUAAUAGAUGAGCCUAAGUCGGAUUAGCUAGUUGGUGGGGUAAAGGCCUACCAAGGCGACGAUCUGUAGCGGGUCUGAGAGGAUGAUCCGCCACACUGGGACUGAGACACGGCCCAGACUCCUACGGGAGGCAGCAGUGGGGAAUAUUGGACAAUGGGGGGAACCCUGAUCCAGCCAUGCCGCGUGUGUGAAGAAGGCCUUAUGGUCGUAAAGCACUUUAAGCGAGGAGGAGGCUACUGAGACUAAUACUCUUGGAUAGUGGACGUUACUCGCAGAAUAAGCACCGGCUAACUCUGUGCCAGCAGCCGCGGUAAUACAGAGGGUGCGAGCGUUAAUCGGAUUUACUGGGCGUAAAGCGUGCGUAGGCGGCUUUUUAAGUCGGAUGUGAAAUCCCCGAGCUUAACUUGGGAAUUGCAUUCGAUACUGGGAAGCUAGAGUAUGGGAGAGGAUGGUAGAAUUCCAGGUGUAGCGGUGAAAUGCGUAGAGAUCUGGAGGA